rnacentral:rRNA from 1 species
UACGUAGGGGGCAAGCGUUGUCCGGAUUUAUUGGGCGUAAAGAGCGCGUAGGCGGCCAUGCAGGUCCGUUGUGAAAACUCGAGGCUCAACCUCGAGACGCCGAUGGAAACCAUGUGGCUAGAGUCCGGAAGAGGAGAGUGGAAUUCCCGGUGUAGCGGUGAAAUGCGCAGAUAUCGGGAAGAACACCCGUGGCGAAGGCGGCUCUCUGGGACGGUACUGACGCUGAGACGCGAAAGCGUGGGGAGCGAACAGG